UCACCACCCUCAUCCUUGGUUUGCACCCUUGUGAGCACAUGGAGGCAGGCUGGGCCAUCUGCAGUGUGGUUUCGCCUCUGGUGUCUCAUUUAUUAUCCCAACCCCACCUCUUCUCCAAGGCCUUUAGUGGUGACAUGCGUCAGUGCCUGGGUGGCCACAUCUGCCCAACGGCACUUUUCCAGAUGUGGAGUUCCAGAUGUGUACGGCGUGAGUGACAGAGAACGUGAGGAGCUCCCACAUACCCUUCCUGACCACCUCCUUAGGUCUGUGAUGGUCCGGACAUACUGUGGGAGAGCCCUUUAUGUUGGAGUGAUGCCCUGCUCAGAGGUCACUGCUGGGAUGUGUUCCAUCAGUCAGCGUCCUUCAUGCUUCCUCCAGUGUAAACCACACCAAUGUUUUGUUUAUCACUGAAGAACAAAUAUAUUUUGAGUCCCUAGGGCUAUAUCUGUUAUGAGAAAGCGAAAAUACCCAUAUUUAUAAACAUCGUGUUGUAUAUCAGAAAUACAUGAGAUUUU